GAAAGUCUUUGUGGCAGGGUGCAAGUCCCUACCGAUGGUAUAGUCCAUGACCCGCUUUGGCGGCUGAUCCGGUGACAUGUCUUUGACGGCGUGAAUUCCGGGACCGACGGUUACAGUCCGGAUGAGAAAAGACAUUU
rnacentral:ncRNA from 2 species